CCUACGGGGGACUGCAGUGGGGAAUAUUGGACAAUGGGGGCAACCCUGAUCCAGCCAUGCCGCGUGUGUGAAGAAGGCCCUCGGGUUGUAAAGCACUUUCAGUGAGGAAGAACGCCUGGUGGUUAAUACCCAUCAGGAAAGACAUCACUCACAGAAGAAGCACCGGCUAACUCCGUGCCAGCAGCCGCGGUAAUACGGAGGGUGCGAGCGUUAAUCGGAAUUACUGGGCGUAAAGCGCGCGUAGGUGGCUUGAUAAGCCGGUUGUGAAAGCCCCGGGCUCAACCUGGGAACGGCAUCCGGAACUGUCAAGCUAGAGUGCAGGAGAGGAAGGUAGAAUUCCCGGUGUAGCGGUGAAAUGCGUAGAGAUCGGGAGGAAUACCAGUGGCGAAGGCGGCCUUCUGGACUGACACUGACACUGAGGUGCGAAAGCGUGGGUAGCAAACAGGAUUAGAUACCCGUGUAGUC
rnacentral:rRNA from 1 species